GUAGGGAAUCUUCCACAAUGGGCGCAAGCCUGAUGGAGCAACACCGCGUGAGUGAAGAAGGGUUUCGGCUCGUAAAACUCUGUUGUUAAAGAAGAACGUAUCUAAGAGUAACUGCUUAGGUAGUGACGGUAUUUAACCAGAAAGCCACGGCUAACUACGUGCCAGCAGCCGCGGUAAUACGUAGGUGGCAAGCGUUAUCCGGAUUUAUUGGGCGUAAAGCGAGCGCAGGCGGUUUUUUAAGUCUGAUGUGAAAGCCUUCGGCUUAACCGAAGAAGAGCAUCGGAAACUGGGAAACUUGAGUGCAGAAGAGGACAGUGGAACUCCAUGUGUAGCGGUGAAAUGCGUAGAUAUAUAGAAGAACACCAGUGGCGAAGGCGGCUGUCUGGUCUGUAACUGACGCUGAGGCUCGAAAGCAUGGGUAGCGAACAGGAUUAGAUACCCGUGUAGUCC
rnacentral:rRNA from 1 species